CAACGUCUGACAGCAGCAGACGCCGCGUGAGGGAUUGUAGCCUUUCGGGUUGUGAACCUCUUUCGUCUCAUGAUCAAGCCUACACGUGUGCGUGUGGUGAGGGUAGUGGGUAAAGAAGCGCCGGGUAUCUACGUGCCAGCACCCGCGGUAAUACGUAGGGCGCGAGCGUUGUCCGGAAUUAUUGGGCGUAAAGGGCGUGUAGGCGGUUGGUUGCGUCUGCCGUGAAAUCCUCUGGCUUAACUGGGGGCGCACGGUGGGUACGGGCUGGCUUGAGUGCGGUAGGGGAGACUGGAAUUCCUGGUGUAGCGGUGGAAUGCGCAGAUAUCAGGAGGAACACCGGUGGCGAAGGCGGGUCUCUGGGCCGUUACUGACGCUGAGGAGCGAAAGCGUGGGGAGCGAACAGGAUUAGAUACCCUGGUAGUUCAUGCUGUAAACGUUGGGCAAUAGGUGUGGGGGCCACCCGUGGUUUCUGCGCCGUAGCUAACGCUUUAAGUGCCCCGCCUGGGGAGUACGGCCGCAAGGGUAAAACUCAAAGGAAUUGACGGGGGCCCGCACAAGCGGCGGAGCAUGCGGAUUAAUUCGAUGCAACGCGAAGAACCUUACCAAGGCUUGACAUGCACCCAGAGCCUCCAGAGAUGGGGGUGCAUUUGGUUGGGGGUGUGCAGGUGGUGCAUGGUUGUCGUCAGUUCGUGUCGUGAGAUGUUGGGUUAAGUCCCGCAACGAGCGCAACCCUUGCCCUAUGUUGCCAGCACGUUGUGGUGGGGAUUCGUGGGGGACUGCCGGGGUUAACUCGGAGGAAG
rnacentral:rRNA from 1 species